rnacentral:rRNA from 1 species
CCUACGGGGGGCGGCAGUGGGGAAUAUUGGACAAUGGGGGCAACCCUGAUCCAGCCAUGCCGCGUGUGUGAAGAAGGUCUUCGGAUUGUAAAGCACUUUAAGUUGGGAGGAAGGGCUUACGGCUAAUACCCGUUAAGUUUUGACGUUACCAACAGAAUAAGCACCGGCUAACUUCGUGCCAGCAGCCCCGGUC